rnacentral:rRNA from 1 species
GUGUCAGCCGCCGCGGUAAGACGAACCGUGCGAACGUUGUUCGGAAUCACUGGGCUUAAAGGGCGCGUAGGCGGAUCAGCAAGUCCGGGGUGAAAUCCUCCGGCUUAACCGGAGAAGUGCCUUGGAUACUGCUGGUCUCGAGGGAGGUAGGGGUUAUCGGAACUUCUGGUGGAGCGGUGAAAUGCGUUGAUAUCAGAAGGAACGCCGGUGGCGAAAGCGGAUAACUGGACCUCUUCUGACGCUGAGGCGCGAAAGCUAGGGGAGCGAACGGGAUUAGAUACCCCGGUAGUCCUAGCCCUAAACGUUGGGUACUAGAUUGUAGACUUGCAUGGGUUUACAGUCGAAGCAAAAGUGAUAAGUACCCCGCCUGGGGAGUAUGGUCGCAAGGCUGAA